ACUGUAAUUAUACGGGGAAUUAUAAAGAGAGGCUGAAGGUCUCCCCCUAAAAUAAAAAUGGCGGAAAACAGACGAGGAGGUUAUGAUAUUAAUGACAAGUGGGACGCUUGUCUUGAUCUGGGCAUCCGUCGUUUCGUUUACUCUUCUUUCGCCGGCGCUGCUUCCGCCCUUCUCUUCUUCCGAACUCCUGCGACCCGAUGGGCAUCAGUAGCUUUUGGUGCUGGAUUGGGUAUUGGAUCCGCUUACACAGAGUGCUCUAUUAAAUUUGAUGGGGCUUCAACAAAGGGAUGGUGUUUUCUUGACGUAUUUGCUUAAGUCAAUGGAAGCAGCUUGUUGUUGGUGCCUUUGUUGUCCCUUCCAAUCAAGAAUCUGGGCCUCACAGUCACUAGCCAGACUAGUCAAGUAUGCGGAUAUUAAAUCAGAUCUUGGCUACGGCAAGAUUGUUCGCCUAGUACUAUAUGUUGUGGUGGAUAGUUAAACUUUAAAAUUUUCAGUUUAUAGAAAAAGAGAUUAAUAAUCUGUUUUGCAGCGCCUUAAACGAGCUCUAUUUAUCUUUCUUUUUUUUUUUUUUUGUUUAGGAGUGGCUAUGAUCUUGCUCCAUGUCAAAUGGUAGAAGUGAAUUUAAGCAUUUAAUGUUGUAAUGUAGUAGAUACUGUAUUGGAGGUCA